UGGGGAAUUUUGGACAAUGGGCGAAAGCCUGAUCCAGCAAUGCCGCGUGUGUGAAGAAGGCCUUCGGGUUGUAAAGCACUUUUGUCCGGAAAGAAAUCCUCUGGGUUAAUACCUCGGGGGAUGACGGUACCGGAAGAAUAAGCACCGGCUAACUACGUGCCAGCAGCCGCGGUAAUACGUAGGGUGCAAGCGUUAAUCGGAAUUACUGGGCGUAAAGCGUGCGCAGGCGGUUUUGUAAGACGGAUGUGAAUCCGGCGUNUACCGUGGGAACUGCAUUCGUGACUGCAAGGCUAGAGUAUGGCAGAGGGGGGUAGAAUUCCACGUGUAGCAGUGAAAUGCGUAGAGAUGUGGAGGAAUACCGAUGGCGAAGGCAGCCCCCUGGGCCAAUACUGACGCUCAUGCACGAAAGCGUGGGGAGCAAACAGGAUUAGAUACCCUGGUAGUCCACGCCCUAAACGAUGUCAACUAGUUGUUGGGGGAUUCAUUUCCUUAGUAACGUAGCUAACGCGUGAAGUUGACCGCCUGGGGAGUACGGUCGCAAGAUUAAAAC
rnacentral:rRNA from 1 species